rnacentral:rRNA from 1 species
CACGUAGGGCGCAAGCGUUGUCCGGAAUUAUUGGGCGUAAAGAGCUCGUAGGCGGUCUGUUACGUCCGCUGUGAAAACCCAGGGCUUAACCCUGGGCUUGCAGUGGAUACGGGUAGACUAGAGGCAGGUAGGGGAGAAUGGAAUUCCCGGUGUAGCGGUGAAAUGCGCAGAUAUCGGGAGGAACACCGGUGGCGAAGGCGGCUCUCUAGUACGGUACUGACGCUGAGACGCGAAAGCGUGGGGAGCGAACAGG